ACAACGAUGAAGGGAAUUUCUGAAAAAAGCAUACCGUUGUUCUAUAUGGCCGUUCUAUAUUACCGCUUCACAUGGCUAUCCAUUACCUGUUAAAAAUAACAUGGCUAUCUAUUUUACCGUUUUAAAAAGCAUGCCCGUUUGUUCUAUAUUACCGUUUCACAUGGCUAUUCAUUACCUGUGAAAAAAAAACAUGGCUAUCUAUUUUACCGUUUUAAAAAGCAUGCCUGUUGCCGAAUGUUACUGUUAUAAAUGGCAGGGCACUGUUCAUGUGGAUUAGCGAGGGCUUGUGUUCUUCCUCUUCUGUCAAUAACAGAGGAAGAGGGAAGGAAAAGGCAAAGGCAGAACAGUUGAAGAGGGAAGGCAAGCUGGUUUCAAAACCAGAGGUAUCUGUAUUUUGGGUUGAAUGACAAAACCACGGGGAUAUCCUCGUCCGCUUGAAAUUGAAGACUCUGCGCUUAGUCAGUUUUAGAUGUUGAGUGUUUGAAAGACUGAGCCAGUAUUCAGAAAUGUUUGGAAGCUCCAAUAGGCUAGCUGCUGAAGUCGAGUAAUGAAUGCAAUUUACAAAAUUUUAGGAAAAUGUUUCAAAUUUUGAAUGGGUUAACUAAAUGCAAGAUUUAAUAUCGAAAAUUGGAGAAAUAUUGUAUAUUUUAAUCAAUUGUUAAAAUUGGUGUAAAUGCAAUUUGUAAAUUGAGGCAAUUUUACUGGAUAAUGCAAUAUCUAAAACUGGAGAAGAUAUUACAUUUUUGAAUCAGUUGCUGAAAUUGGUGACAUCAAUGUAAUAUAUAAUUGAAACAAUGCUUAUUUAGUAAAUUGAUAUGUAAACUGAUUUAUUAUUUAAUACCAUUAUUUUUAUUUGGAAGGGGUUGAAUUUGCCCCCUUCCUAAGGCUGCAAAGAAUGGUCAUUGGCGAUGGCCAUUCUUUUAGGCCAAUGACCAUUCUUUUAUACUAUGUUUGCUUUAAACUUAACUUUUUUUUCAUUUUUUGUUUUCAUUUCAUUAUCUAUAAUGACUUACAUUUGUGGUGCAAUGUAAUUAUUAAGUACCAUAACAUUCUUUAAUUAUAACAAAGCUUUGUAAUAUUGUAAUAAUUA